rnacentral:rRNA from 1 species
UACGUAGGGUGCAAGCGUUAUCCGGAAUUAUUGGGCGUAAAGAGCUCGUAGGCGGUUUGUCGCGUCUGCUGUGAAACUGGAGGCUCAACCUCCAGCCUGCAGUGGGUACGGGCAAACUAGAGUGCGGUAGGGGAGAUUGGAAUUCCUGGUGUAGCGGUGAAAUGCGCAGAUAUCAGGAAGAACACCCGUGGCGAAAGCGGCUCUCUGGAACGGUACUGACGCUGAGGCACGAAAGCGUGGGAGCAAACAGG